CAGGCAGCCGCGGUAAUACAGAGGGUGCGAGCGUUAAUCGGAUUUACUGGGCGUAAAGCGUGCGUAGGCGGCUUUUUAAGUCGGAUGUGAAAUCCCUGAGCUUAACUUAGGGAUUGCAUUCGAUACUGGGAAGCUAGAGUAUGGGAGAGGAUGGUAGAAUUCCAGGUGUAGCGGUGAAAUGCGUAGAGAUCUGGAGGAAUACCGAUGGCGAAGGCAGCCAUCUGGCCUAAUACUGACGCUGAGGUACGAAAGCAUGGGGAGCAAACAGGAUUAGAUACCCGCGUAGUCCCUGUCUCUUAUA
rnacentral:rRNA from 1 species